AAAUACAAGUGACUAAGAGCUUACGGUGGAUACCUUGGUAUUCAGAAGCGAUGAAGGGCGUGACUACCAGCGAAAUUCUUCGGGGAGUUGGAAGUAAGUUUUGAUCCGGAGGUUCCCGAAUGAGGCAACUUGUAAACUUCUUGCUGAAUAUAUAUGCAAGAUAGAGCGAACCUAGCGAAUUGAAACAUCUUAGUAGCUAGAGGAAAAGAAAGCAAAAGCGAUUCCCUCAGUAGCGGCGAGCGAAAAGGGAUUAGCCCAAACCAUUCAGAUUUAUCUGAUGGGGUUGUGGGACAACGUUUUUAAGAUUAGAAAAAGUUAGAUGAAUUAGUUGGAAUGCUAAACCAUAGAAAGUGAAAGUCUUGUAAUCGAAAACUAGAUCUACUUAAGUUGUAUCCCAAGUAGCAUGGGGCACGUGGAAUCCCGUGUGAAUCAGCGAGGACCACCUCGUAAGGCUAAAUAUUCCUGAAUAACCGAUAGUGAAAUAGUACCGUGAGGGAAAGGUGAAAAGAACCCCGGAAGGGGAGUGAAAUAGAACAUGAAACCGUAAGCUUACAAGCAGUGGAAGGACGACUAAACGUCUGACCUCGUGCCUGUUGAAGAAUGAGCCGGCGACUUGUAGGUAGUGGCAGGUUAAAACAGAGAAUGUUGAAGCCACAGUGAAAGCGAGCUUGAAUAGAGCGUCCGUCACUAUUUACAGACCCGAACCCGGAUGAUCUAGCCAUGACCAGGGUGAAACUUAGGUAACACUGAGUGGAGGUCCGAACCGACUGAUGUUGAAAAAUCAGCGGAUGAGUUGUGGCUAGGGGUGAAAUACCAAUCGAAUUCGGAGCUAGCUGGUUCUCCCCGAAAUGCGUUUAGGCGCAGCGGUUGAUGUUUAGACUUAGGGGUAAAGCACUGUUUCGGUGCGGGCUGCGAGAGCGGUACCAAAUCAAGGCAAACUCUGAAUACUAAGUCACAAGUCAACCAGUGAGACAGUGGGGGAUAAGCUUCAUUGUCAAAAGGGAAACAGCCCAGACCACCAGUUAAGGCCCCAAAAUAAUUGCUAAGUGUGAAAGGAGGUGGGAAUGCAUAGACAACCAGGAGGUUUGCUUAGAAGCAGCAACCCUUUAAAGAGUGCGUAAUAGCUCACUGGUCAAGUGAUCCUGCGCCGAAAAUGAAUGGGACUAAGUAAUUUGCCGAAGCUGUGGGAUGUUUUUACAUCGGUAGGGGAGCGUUCUGCUAUAGUUUGAAGCAUUAGCGAAAGCGGAUGUGGACGGAGCAGAAGUGAGAAUGUCGGCUUGAGUAGCGAAAACAUUGGUGAGAAUCCAAUGCCCCGAAAACCUAAGGAUUCCUCUGGAAGGUUCGUCCACGGAGGGUGAGUCAGGACCUAAGGCGAGGCCGAAAGGCGUAGUCGAUGGACAACAGGUUAAUAUUCCUGUACCGUUUGUUGUUGGUACCGAAGGACGGAGAAGGCUAAACUAGCCGGAUGUUGGUUACCGGUUUAAGCGUUAAAGGUGAUGAGAAGUGGUGAAAACACUUUGAGCUAAGGCGCGAGUACAAAAUACUACGGUAUUGAAGUAGUUGAUGUCAUACUUCCAAGAAAAGUUCGAAAUACCAUAAACAACAAAUGCCUGUACCUUAAACCGACACAGGUAGGUAAGUAGAGUAUACUAAGGGGCGCGAGAUAACUCUCUCUAAGGAACUCGGCAAAAUAGCCCCGUAACUUCGGAAGAAGGGGUGCCCUGCAAAGGGCUGCAAUAACCAGACCCAAGCGACUGUUUACCAAAAACACAGGUCUCCGCGAAGUCGCAAGACAAUGUAUGGGGGCUGACGCCUGCCCAGUGCCGGAAGGUUAAAGAAAUUGGUUAGCUCUAGGGCGAAGCUGGUGACUGAAGCCCCGGUGAACGGCGGCCGUAACNNNAACGGUCCUAAGGUAGCGAAAUUCCUUGUCGGGUAAGUUCCGACCCGCACGAAAGGCGUAACGAUUUGGGUACUGUCUCGGAGAGAGACUCGGCGAAAUAGACAUGUCUGUGAAGAUGCGGACUACCUGCACCUGGACAGAAAGACCCUAUGAAGCUUUACUGUAGCUUGAGAUUGGGUUUGGGCUUUUCUUGCGCAGCAUAGGUGGGAGGCUUUGAAGGCAUUCUUGCGGGAGUGUCUGAGCCACCAGUGAGAUACCACUCUAGGUAAGCUAAAAUUCUAACUUAUCACCGUUAUCCGGUGAAAGGACAUUUUCAGGUGGGCAGUUUGACUGGGGCGGUCGCCUCCUAAAAGGUAACGGAGGCGUGCAAAGGUUCCCUCAGACUGGUCGGAAAUCAGUUGUAGAGUGCAAAGGCAUAAGGGAGCUUGACUGCAAGACCUACAAGUCGAGCAGAGACGAAAGUCGGCCUUAGUGAUCCGACGGUUCCGAGUGGAAGGGCCGUCGCUCAACGGAUAAAAGUUACUCUAGGGAUAACAGGCUGAUCUCCCCCAAGAGUUCACAUCGACGGGGAGGUUUGGCACCUCGAUGUCGGCUCAUCGCAUCCUGGGGCGGUAGUACGUCCCAAGGGUUGGGCUGUUCGCCCAUGAAAGCGGUACGCGAGCUGGGUUCAGAACGUCGUGAGACAGUUCGGUCCAUAUCCGGUGUAGGCGUUAGAGUAUUGAAAGGAUUUCUCCUUAGUACGAGAGGACCGGGAGAGACACACCGCUGGUGUACCAGUUAUUGUGCCAACAGUAAACGCUGGGUAGCCAAGUGUGGAAAGGAUAACCGCUGAAAGCAUCUAAGUGGGAAGCCUACCUUAAGAUGAGUACUCUCACUGUUUUAAACAGGUAAGGUCACGGCAAGACUAGCCGUUUAUUAGGCAUUAAGUGUAAGUACAGUAAUGUAUUCAGCUGAGAUGUACUAACAGACCGAGGACUUGUUU
rnacentral:rRNA from 1 species